CUGAAAAACUGACAGUGGGUGAUCAAAUUUCUAGGCAGAAGCAGCUGCAUGCACAAAACUAAAGAGACAUGAAAAUAACAUGUUACGUCUGGAAAACUGUAAAUAGGUCAGUAUUUCUAGAGCAAGAAGAGGGAAGCACAUAAUGGCCAAGAGAUGAAGCUGGAUAGUUACAUAGAGCCCAUUUAUGGAUCUUGCAUGCCCCACUGAGGAACUUAAACUUUAUCUGUAUUUGACAGGGAUCAGCAUCACUUGAACCCAGGAGGUAGAGGUUACAGUGAGCCGAGAUCAAUCCACUACACUCCAGCCCAGGCGACAGAGCAAGACUCCAUCUCAAAAAAAGAAAUAAUCUUAGACUGAGUCUCACUCUGUCGCCCAGGCUGGAGUGCAGUGGCAGGAUUUCACUGCAACCUCCAACUCCUGGGUUCAAGCGAUGCUCCUGCCUCAGCCUCCCAAGUAGCUGGGAUUACAGGUGCCCACCACCACGCGCCUCUUUUGGUUCCUGACCUUCCAGAGUCAGAAAGCUGAUGAGGUUCCAGACUAAAUUGAAUUUCCUUGUCAGGUUGCUAAGCAGGAUACAGGAAUCCUGUGGUCUAGCCUGAUCCAUCCAGCCUCUUCCCUUACCCAUUUAGCUCUGUCUACUCAGACCUGUGGGUGAGAUGGCCUGGAGAAAAUGGUGAAGGGUCGUCAGCUGGGCAAGGAAGAGAGCGAACAGGUGGCAAGAGAGAGAGAAGAGCAGAGUUGGAUUCCAAAUGAGACCAAAUCAUUUUAUAUAGAAGAGAGACACAGUCAAUCUUCUGUUUUGGAAAGGUCACCAAAUUAUCAGUUUAUGCUGAUAAACUGGAGGCAGAGAGACCCUCUAAGAACUUCGUAAUAAAUGGUCAGUGCUGGAAAUAACCCAGACACCACUAGUAGGGAUGGACUCGGUAGAUCUGUAGACUUUGGUUGAGUGAGUGUAUGGUAGAUAAUGAAUUAGAGAAAGUAAGAUAACUCACAGGUUUCUGACUUGAAAAACUAGCUAGAUGGGUGGCACUACUAGUCAAUACAAGGAAGAUGGAAGAGUAGGAUGGAUGGAGUAACAGGCAAAUCUCUUUUGAAUAUGUCUUUUAUAUAUCCAGGGUAGUGAUAUUUAAUAGCAUAUAUAAGAGAAUCUGAAAAUUAAAAGGUCAGUAGUGAUAAUUAGUGUGGAGUAAGGGGAUGAGUAGCACAGUUAAUGGGAAGGUACUGGUAGGGGGUGUCUUUAAUUUUUAAUUUUAAGGAUGGCAGAGAUUUGAAUAUAUUUAAAUGCUAAGGGGAGGCCAACGUGGUGGCUCACAUGUGUAAUCCUAACACUUUGGGAGGCUGAAGUGGGCAGGUCACUUGAUGCUAGGAGUUCGAGACCAGCCUGGCCAACAUAGCAAAAUUCUGUCUCUACUAAAAGUACAAA
rnacentral:lncRNA from 1 species